rnacentral:rRNA from 1 species
UACGGAGGAUGCAAGCGUUAUCCGGAAUGAUUGGGCGUAAAGCGUCCGCAGGUGGCUGUGUAAGUCUGCUGUCAAAGAGCGAAGCUCAACUUCGUAAAGGCAGUGGAAACUACACGGCUAGAGUGCGUUCGGGGCAGAGGGAAUUCCUGGUGUAGCGGUGAAAUGCGUAGAGAUCAGGAAGAACACCCGUGGCGAAAGCGGCUCUCUGGAACGGUACUGACGCUGAGGUGCGAAAGCGUGGGGAGCAAACAGG